UGGGGAAUAUUGCACAAUGGGGGAAACCCUGAUGCAGCGACGCCGCGUGAAGGAAGAAGUAUUUCGGUAUGUAAACUUCUAUCAGCAGGGAAGAUAAUGACGGUACCUG
rnacentral:rRNA from 1 species